AGGGCUUCUGAUGGAUGCCUUGGCGUCGAGAGGCGAUGAAGGACGUGGCACGCUGCGAUAAGCUUCGGGGAGGCGCGAGCACCCUUUGAUCCGAAGAUUUCCGAAUGGGGAAACCCACCUUAACGGUCUGCGAAUUUUACCAUCGGCUUCGGCCGGCGGUACGGUUCGUAGGGCGUUUAAAGGUAUAAUGACCUGAAUACAUAGGGUUCAUUAAGCAAACCCGGGGAACUGAAACAUCUCAGUACCCGGAGGAAAGGACAUCAACCGAGACUCCCGUAGUAGUGGCGAGCGAACCGGGACCAGGCCAGUGCUGUCGUGACAUAAAGCUGAACGACUUGGAAAGGUCGGCCAUAGUGGGUGAUAGCCCCGUAAGCAUCAAUUAGCGACAGACUCGAGUAGGGCGGGACACGUGAAAUCCUGUCUGAACAUGGGGGGACCACCCUCCAAGCCUAAAUACUCGCACAUGACCGAUAGCGAACACAGUACCGUGAGGGAAAGGUGAAAAGCACCCCGAUUAGGGGAGUGAAACAGUACCUGAAACCGGAUGCUUACAAGCAGUUGGAGCCCCAUAGGGGGUGACAGCGUACCUCUUGCAUAAUGGGUCAGUGACUUAAUCUACCAUGCAAGCUUAAGCCGUUAGGUGUAGGCGCAGCGAAAGCGAGUCUGAAUAGGGCGACUGAGUAUGAUGGAUUAGACCCGAACCCCGGCGAUCUAGGCAUGGCCAGGUUGAAGGUGCAGUAACAUGCACUGGAGGACCGAACCGGUGAAUGUUGAAAAAUUCUCGGAUGAGCUGUGUUUAGGGGUGAAAGGCCAAUCAAGCCGGGAAAUAGCUGGUUCUCCGCGAAAUCUAUUGAGGUAGAGCGUCGGAUGUAUGCCGAUGGGGGUAGAGCACUGGAUGGGCUAGGGCUGCGCGAGCGGUACCAAACCUAACCAAACUCCGAAUACCAUCGAGUCUUAUCCGGCAGACAGACGGCGGGUGCUAAGGUCCGUCGUCAAAAGGGAAACAGCCCUAACCUACAGCUAAGGUCCCCAAGUCAUAUCUAAGUGGGAAAGCAUGUGGGAAUCCCAAAACAACCAGGAGGUUGGCUUAGAAGCAGCCAUCCUUUAAAGAAAGCGUAACAGCUCACUGGUCUAAACAAGGGUUCCUGCGGCGAAGAUGUAACGGGGCUAAAGAUAUGCACCGAAGCUUAGGGUUCAGAAUUUAUUCUGAGCGGUAGCGGAGCGUUCCGUAAGCGGAUGAAGCCGAAGGGUAACCGACGGUGGACGUAUCGGAAGUGCGAAUGCUGACAUGAGUAGCGACAAACAGUGUGAGAUGCACUGUCGCCGAAAGCCCAAGGGUUCCUGCUUAAAGCUAAUCUGAGCAGGGUGAGUCGGCCCCUAAGACGAGCCCGAAGGGGGUAGUCGAUGGGAACCACGUAAAUAUUCGUGGGCCUGAAGAUGUGUGACGGAUCGUGGAAGUUGUUUUCUCUUAUUGGAUUGAGAGGGCAGCCAAGCGGUUCCAGGAAAUAGCCUCUUCACUAUAGACCGUACCCGAAACCGACACAGGUGGUCAGGUAGAGUAUACCAAGGCGCUUGAGAGAAGUAUCCUGAAGGAACUCGGCAAAUUGCCUCCGUACCUUCGGAAGAAGGAGGCCCCAUAUCGACGCAAGUCUUUGUGGGGGGCACAGGCCAGGGGGUAGCGACUGUUUAGCAAAAACACAGCACUCUGCUAAGUCGGCUUCAAGACGACGUAUAGGGUGUGACGCCUGCCCGGUGCUCGAAGGUUAAGAGGAGGAGUGCAAGCUCCGAAUUGAAGCCCGAGUAAACGGCGGCCGUAACUAUAACGGUCCUAAGGUAGCGAAAUUCCUUGUCGGGUAAGUUCCGACCUGCACGAAUGGCGUAACGACUUCCCCACUGUCUCCAGGAUAUGCUCAGCGAAAUUGAAUUCUCCGUGAAGAUGCGGAGUACCCGCGGUUAGACGGAAAGACCCCGUGCACCUUUACUGCAGCUUCAGAGUGGCAUUAGGAAAUUACUGUGUAGAAUAGGUGGGAGGCUUUGAAACAUCGGCGCCAGCUGGUGUGGAGCCAACCUGUGAAAUACCACCCUGUGAUUUUCUGAUGUCUAACCACGCACCGUUAUCCGGUGUUGGGACCCUCUGUGGCGGGUAGUUUGACUGGGGCGGUCGCCUCCUAAAGAGUAACGGAGGCGCGCGAUGGUAUGCUCAGGACGGUUGGAAACCGUCUGCAAGAGUGCAAUGGCAUAAGCAUGCCUGACUGCGAGACCGACAGGUCGAGCAGAGACGAAAGUCGGUCAUAGUGAUCCGGUGGUCCCUCGUGGAAGGGCCAUCGCUCAACGGAUAAAAGGUACGCCGGGGAUAACAGGCUGAUGAUUCCCAAGAGCUCAUAUCGACGGAAUCGUUUGGCACCUCGAUGUCGGCUCAUCACAUCCUGGGGCUGGAGCAGGUCCCAAGGGUUUGGCUGUUCGCCAAUUAAAGUGGUACGUGAGCUGGGUUCAGAACGUCGUGAGACAGUUUGGUCCCUAUCUGCCGUGGGUGUACGAAGCUUGAGAGGAUCUGUCCCUAGUACGAGAGGACCGGGAUGGACACACCUCUGGUGGACCUGUCGUGGCGCCAGCCGCGCAGCAGGGUAGCUAAGUGUGGAAUAGAUAACCGCUGAAAGCAUCUAAGCGGGAAACUAACCUCAAAACAAGGCUUCGCCGAGAGCCGUGGUAGACCACCACGUUGAUAGGCCAGGUGUGGAAGUGCCGCGAGGCAUGGAGCUUACUGGUACUAAUCGCUCGAUCGGCUUGAUC
rnacentral:rRNA from 1 species